AUUGAACGCUGGCGGAAUGCUUUACACAUGCAAGUCGAGCGGCAGCACGGGGGCAACCCUGGUGGCGAGCGGCGAACGGGUGAGUAAUACAUCGGAACAUGCCCAGUCGUGGGGGAUAACACUUCGAAAGAAGUGCUAAUACCGCAUACGUACUGAGGGAGAAAGCGGGGGAUCGUCGGACCUCGCGCGAUUGGGGUGGCCGAUGCCAGAUUAGCUAGUUGGUGGGGUAAAGGCCUACCAAGGCAACGAUCUGUAGCUGGUCUGAGAGGAUGAUCAGCCACACUGGGACUGAGACACGGCCCAGACUCCUACGGGAGGCAGCAGUGGGGAAUUUUGGACAAUGGGGGCAACCCUGAUCCAGCCAUUCCGCGUGAGUGAAGAAGGCCUUCGGGUUGUAAAGCUCUUUCGGCAGGAACGAAACGGCGAGCUCUAACAUAGCUUGCUAAUGACGGUACCUGAAGAAGAAGCACCGGCUAACUUCGUGCCAGCCGCCGCCGUAACAC
rnacentral:rRNA from 1 species